GGACCAUUAGAUCAGAUGGUUAGAUCCCCUGUCUCAUAAACAGGUAGUCCAAGGUUCGAGUCCUUGAUGGUCCA
rnacentral:tRNA from 1 species